GCUAGCGUAGCUUAACUAAAGCACAACACUGAAGAUGUUGGGAUGGGCCCUAGAAAGCCCCGCAAGCA
rnacentral:tRNA from 1 species